rnacentral:rRNA from 1 species
AUGCAACGAAUCCCCUUUGUACAUGUGCCUGGGUGGGACUAUUGCCCUAGAUACAUUUUUGAGCUGUGCGGCAAGCUAGCAGUGGUGUCAGAGGCCAAUGCGACACCCAAAGGCUAUAAAGCUUGCUGUUUUAAGGUGUUUGAGCUCGAGGAUACACCGGGCAGAAAUAUAUGGGCAGAGGUAACCACAUUGGGGGAACAUGCCUUGUUCUUGGGGCCACAGUCCUCUAAGUUGGUGCACGCGUCGACGGCGGGCCGGCAUGGUAGGUUGGAGGAAAACCGCAUCUACUAUCAUAUGCGACAACAGGACAGCCUUGCUAGACACAAGGAGUGCUUGACGAAGUUGGGCCUCGGCAGCUGCAACAUCUAUCGGGAAAACCAAGGUAUGAAUCAAAGCAUGGAGAGGAUCACCUCGGAGGGAUACCAUUACAAAGAUGAUAAUGGUAAUGGUUGCAUGUGGCUCCUGCCUUCGGAGUUAUGUUAA